rfam:Salmo salar isolate Sally breed double haploid chromosome ssa27, whole genome shotgun sequence.
GCAGAAACAGCUCAGUUGGGAGAGCGUUAGACUGAAGAUCUAAAGGUCCCUUGUUCGAUCCGGGGUUUUGGCA